AACUCGACUUCCAAGACAAACGCUCCGUGGUUCUGGCCGUCCAGGUCCUUGACCUGGUGACUUUUGACCUUCAGGACUAAUUUUCCGUAGUUCUGGCUGUCCAGGUCCUCCACCUGAUGGAUCUUGACAUCCAGGAAAAGUGCUCCGUAGUUCUGGCUGUCCAGGUCCUUGACCUGGUGACUUUUGACCUUCAGGACUAUAUUUCCGUAUAACCCGUGGUGGAUAGCGGUGGUCGUUGGAGGUGGUUAGCGGUGGUUGAAGAGGGUCGGAGGUGAACAAGGGGGAGGACGACGAGGAAGACGAGGAGAACGAGAUGGACAAAGAUGACGAAGAUUUGUGCACGUAUUCGAGGUAUAACCCGAGUUGGUUUGCAGUGGUCAUUGGAGGUGGUUGGGGGUGGUUGCGGCCGAUAGAGGUGGACGAGAAGGAGGAGGAUCAGAAUUAAAGUAGAAUAAGGAUCAGGAGUAGGAACAGGAGUAGAAGUAGGACUAGGUGUAGGAUCAAGAGAGGAAGUGGGAGCGGGAGUGGGAGUACCCUACCCUACCCUACCUUACCGUACCCUAACCUACCCU
rnacentral:lncRNA from 1 species